rnacentral:rRNA from 1 species
CAGCACCCCCGUGAGAACGCCCUAAACCCCCUGUUCGGGNUACGGAGCUGGUAUCAGGCACAUAUUUAACCCAUGACACCUAGCUAUGCCACAUCCUCAAGGAAUUUCAGCAGUGAUCAAUAUUGAAAAUACGCGUCAGCAAGAUUCAGUUAAAGUACAGAGAGCCGGCAAAAUUGGUGCCAGCCGCCGCGGUUAAACCAAUAGACUCAAAUUGAUUAUAUCGGCGUAAAGCGUGAUUAAAGUUUCCCCCCCCCCCAUCAAANAUANAACCCUCACUAAGCUGUGACACGCUUGUGCCUGAAAAAAUCAAAAACGUAAGUUAUUUUUGUUAACCCCCCACUUGAAUUCACGACAGUUAAGACACAAACUGGGAUUAGAUGCCCCACUAUGCUUAACCGUAAACUUUAAAUUACAUCAUAAACGCCAGAGAACUACGAGCAAAGCUUAAAACUCAAAGGACUUGACGGUACCCCAUAUCCACCUAGAGGAGCCUGUCCUAUAAUCGAUAACCCCCGCUUUACCUCACCAUUUUUAGUCGUCAGCCUGUAUACCUCCGUCGUCAGCUUACCACGUGAGCGAACCACAGUGAGCCUAAUGUCUACACGUCAACACGUCAGGUCAAGGUGCAGCUAACAAAAUGUGGAAGAGAUGGGCUACACUCUCUUAUUUAGAAGAUACGAAAAACUUUAUGAAACCUAGUUAGAAGGCGGAUUUAGCAGUAAAAAGAAACUAGAGAGUUCUUUUUAAUAUGGCACUGGGGUGUGUACACACCGCCGGUNACCCUCUUCAAAAUCUCAUUUUACAGUAUCUAACUAAUUUUUUUCUGCAAGAA